GCAAGGGCGGCCAUGUUUGUGGAGAAGAAGAAAGAGGAGACCGAGAUAGAGAAGCGGGAGAAGAGAGAAGGAAAGAGAGAUAGAGAGAGAGAGCGGAGGCUGGUUCGAUCGCUUUAGCUUGGAGGCUAGGGUUUAGCGUCUGAUACCAUGUAAGUUUAGGAAACUCCGUGGAGUGUAUUAUCAUUGACGUGAGAAUAUAUCUACAACACAUUAGAUGGUUCUAGAGAGUAUCUAAGUGUAUCACAAAGAUAUUUACAUAUCUAAUCAUAUCUAAUCGUAUAUUCUCUAACACACACCCCAUUCAAACGGCCAUCGUAGCUUUCCUGCGUUCUCCAAAGAGAUUGGUUCAAUGUGGGCUUGCUCUACAUGGGCCUUCUCCACAAGAAGAUGGGCCUCAAGUCCCCAUGCAAUCUCUGGCCC
rnacentral:lncRNA from 1 species